ACGGGACACCUGCAUCUGCCAACAAGACUGGAAGCAGAAAGGGACAGAGACGGCGAAGUUUGACGGUCUGGAAAGCAGAGACCAGCAGGGCUGACUGCUUGGGAGCACCAAAUAUCCGGACAGCGCCUCUCGGGAGGUCCGAGAAGAGAACCGCGAUCUGUUUCAGCACCGGGGCUCAGGACAGUUCCCAGCGGGCUCCGUUUCGUCUCCAGAACCCUGGACAGCUCCUCCAGACUUCGGUGAGAAACCUUGUGCCAAGCAUUUUACAUACAUCAUAUCAUGCCAUCUUCAACCCUAGGACAUGGGUGUUACUGUGCCCAUGUGACAUUUGGGGAACCCAAGGCCCUGAGAAAGGCAGAAAAAUAACCCACGCAGGGACUCUCAGCCCACAAGUGAAGCUGAGAACCGGGAAUGGAAAACAGGGAGGCAGCACAGAGGCAGGAAACUCAGGUGUCAUAGCUUGGCUCAGCCUCAGGGCUUUUGCCUCUGCUGUUCCUGCAGCUUGGAAUGCACUCCCUCCACCUCCACCCAGAGCUCCCCACAACUGACCCUGCCUUCUUCUGCAAGCUCCAUUUCAUCAAGGGAAACGAUCCUUAUUGCCUCACCAUUUCCCACGUGAAGUCUGUAUUGACAUUCUCAUAGACCUGGGAUAUUGUGUCUGCAGCACACAGUCCAAUUAUUUUCAUGUUAUCUACUGACAGGUCUAUUUGUCUCCCUGUUACACUGUGAGCUCCGUGAGGGCAGAAACAAUGUUAGUAUUUUCACUGCUGUGUCCCCAGCGCCUGGUCCGGGGCCCGGCACACAGCAGGCAUAUAAUAAGCAUGUGUUGAAUCAAUAAAGGCAUCAAAGAAUAAACCAAUACAUCAAUCAAUAAA
rnacentral:sRNA from 1 species